AGACGAUAAUACUAAACCAUCCGCGAGGGUGGGACGGAAAGCCUACAGGGUCUCCCCGAGACAGCCGGGUCGCCAAA
rfam:Geobacter metallireducens GS-15, complete genome.